rnacentral:rRNA from 1 species
AUAGCGUAUAUUAAAGUUGUUGUGGUUAAAACGCCCGUAGUUGAUUUUUCGACUGUGAAGGUCGGUAGCCCGUAUGGGUUUCACUGUCCCUUCAAGUCUGAAUUUGAGUUUUCUGUCGAUGCUCUUUACCGGGUGUCGUCAGUGACUUGAACGUUUACUUUGAAAAAAUUAGAGUGCUUAAAGCAAGCUUUACGCUUGAAUAAAGUGCAUGGGAUAAUGGAAUAGGACUUUAGUCUUAUUUUGUUGGUUUUCGAGAUUAAAGUAAUGAUUAAGAGGAACAGACGGGGGCAUUCGUAUUGUUGCGUUAGAGGUGAAAUUCUUGGAUCGCAGCAAGACGAACAACUG